rnacentral:rRNA from 1 species
GUAGGUGGCAAGCGUUGUCCGGAUUUAUUGGGUUUAAAGGGUGCGUAGGUGGCUAACUAAGUCAGUGGUGAAAUAUCUCAGCUUAACUGAGAGGGUGCCAUUGAUACUGGAUAGCUUGAGUACAGAUGAGGUAGGCGGAAUUGACGGUGUAGCGGUGAAAUGCAUAGAUAUCGUCAAGAACACCGAUAGCGAAGGCAGCUUACCAAGCUGUAACUGACACUGAGGCACGAAAGUGUGGGGAUCAAACAGGAUUAGAUACCCUGGUAGUCCACACUGUAAACGUUGAUGACUCGAUGUUGGCGAUACACAGCCAGCGUCCAAGAGCAAUCGUUAAGUCAUCCACCUGGGGAGUACGCCGGCAACGGUG